AUUGAACGCUGGCGGCAGGCCUAACACAUGCAGGUCGAGCGAGCGGCGGACGGGUGAGUAAUGUCUGGGAAACUGCCUGAUGGAGGGGGAUAACUACUGGAAACGGUAGCUAAUACCGCAUACUAUCAGAUAAGCCUAGGUCGGAUUAGCUAGUUGGUGGGGUAAAGGCCUACAAAGGCGACGAUCCGUACCGGGUCUGAGAGGAUGAUCAGUAACACUGGAACGGAGACAAGGUCCAGACUCCUACGGGAGGCAGCAGUGGGGAAUAUUGGACAAUGGGCGAAAGCCGGAUCCAGCCAUGCCGCGUGUGUGAAGAAGGCCUUCGGGUUGUAAAGCACUUUCAGCGGGGAGGCGUUACCCGCAGAAGAAGCACCGGCUAACUCCGUGCCAGCCGCCGCGGUAAUUC
rnacentral:rRNA from 1 species